UUUCUACUGGAACUGAUCGCGAACAGUUGACAGGGUGCAUCUUAUUGAUUGAUUGUUUCAUCUAUUGGAAUGGAAUAAAAAGCUUUUUUUUUUUUUGGCGGGUGGUAGGCUAACCCGUGAUGAUGUUAUUGUCCUGAACUGCAAGUGUUCGCUUCUUUUUAGAAAAGGCAUUCCCUCACUUGAUUGAAUUGUUCCCAGGUCAUAUCAAUCAGAUUUGCAAUUACUCGUCCACCAUCUGUACGCGCAGCAGUUCAAGGAGAAUGAAAAGUUAUCUCACAGGUACUGAAAGGAGGGGGCCCGAUUCCUGCAUUUGGCAUCUACUUUGAACAACUUUUGAACUUCAGACUUUUUCGUUAUGCAAAUGGAGCUCUGGUUUCUUAGGCUAUGAGGUUGUGCUUUUAUUUUGAGGAAAAUUUUCUCGCUUGUUUGUUGGAAUAAAUUACAACAUUUGUUAUCAUGUGAAUGAUGGCUGUUAUGAAAUAAUCAGCAUUGGGAAGGUCGUAAACCCCUGCAGUCUUCUCAA